rnacentral:rRNA from 1 species
CAGUCGCCGCGGGAAUACGUAGGGUGCGAGCGUUAAUCGGAAUUACUGGGCGUAAAGCGUGCGCAGGCGGUUUUGUAAGACAGGCGUGAAAUCCCCGGGCUCAACCUGGGAAUGGCGCUUGUGACUGCAAAGCUAGAGUGCGGCAGAGGGGGAUGGAAUUCCGCGUGUAGCAGUGAAAUGCGUAGAUAUGCGGAGGAACACCGAUGGCGAAGGCAAUCCCCUGGGCCUGCACUGACGCUCAUGCACGAAAGCGUGGGGAGCAAACAGGAUUAGAUACCCGGGUAGUCCCUGUCUCUUAUAC